rnacentral:rRNA from 1 species
UCUGUGCUAAGGUAGCAUAAUCAUUAGUCUUUUAAUUGGGGACUGGUAUGAAUGGCUAAACGAGAAAUCAGCUUUUUUUAUUAUAUAAAUUUAAUUUAUUUUUUUAGUGAAAAAACUAAAAUUUUUCAAAAAGACGAGAAGACCCUAUAGAGUUUUAUGUGGUAAUAAAUUAAAUUAUAUUAGAUUUUUAUUAAUAGAAUUUUGAUCCACAAUUUGUUGGGGCGACAUUAAGAAAUACCAAACUCUUUUUUCUAAAUACUUUUAUAAAAGUAAGAUUUGAUCCUUUAAAAAAGAUCAUAAGAAAAAAUUACCUUAGGGAUAACAGCGUAAUCUUUUUUGAGAGUUCUAAUCGACAAAAAGGUUUGCGACCUCGAUGUUGGACUAAAAUUUAGGCAUGGUGCAGUAGCUUUGCUUUAGGGUCUGUUCGACCCGUAAUAUUUUACACGAUCUGAGUUCAGACCGGCGUAAGCCAGGUUGGU